UACGGAGGGUGCAAGCGUUAUCCGGAUUCACUGGGUUUAAAGGGUGCGUAGGCGGGCAGGUAAGUCAGUGGUGAAAUCUCCGGGCUUAACCCGGAAACUGCCGUUGAUACUAUCUGUCUUGAAUAUCGUGGAGGUAAGCGGAAUAUGUCAUGUAGCGGUGAAAUGCUUAGAUAUGACAUAGAACACCCAUUACGAAAGCAGCUGGCUACACAAAUAUUGACACUGAGGCACGAAAGCGUGGGGAUCAAACAGG
rnacentral:rRNA from 1 species